rnacentral:rRNA from 1 species
GGGGAAUAUUGGGCAAUGGGCGCAAGCCUGACCCAGCAACGCCGCGUGAAUGAAGAAGGUUUUCGGGUUGUAAACUUCUUUUCUCAGGGAAGAAGAAAGUGACGGUACCUGAGGAAUAAGCCACGGCUAACUAC